GUGUCAGCCGCCGCGGUAAUACGGAGGGUGCAAGCGUUAUCCGGAUUCACUGGGUUUAAAGGGUGCGUAGGCGGAUUGGUAAGUCCGUGUUGAAAUCCCCGAGCUUAACUCGGGAACUGCCGUGGAUACUAUCAAUCUUGAAUGCUGUGGAGGUAAGCGGAAUAUGUCAUGUAGCGGUGAAAUGCUUAGAGAUGACAUAGAACACCGAUUGCGAAGGCAACUUGCUACACAGUAAUUGACGCUGAGGCACGAAAGCGUGGGGAUCAAACAGGAUUAGAUACCCCGGUAGUCC
rnacentral:rRNA from 1 species